UUCCGGUUGAUCCUGCCGGACCUGACUGCUAUCGGAUUGAUACUAAGCCAUGCGAGUCAUUGUAGUAAUACAAGGCAGACGGCUCAGUAACGCGCAGUCAACCUACCCUAAGGACGGGGAUAACCUCGGGAAACUGAGAAUAAUACCCGAUAGAACAUAGCUCCUGGAAUGGUUUAUGUUUCAAAUAAUUUAUUGCCCUAGGAUGGGACUGCGGCCUAUCAGUUUGUUGGUGAGGUAAUGGCCCACCAAGACUAUUACAGGUACGGGCUCUGAGAGGAGUGGCCCGGAGAUGGGUACUGAGACACGGACCCAGGCCCUAUGGGGCGCAGCAGGCGAGAAAACUUUGCAAUGUGCGAAAGCACGACAAGGUUAAUCCGAGUGGUUUCUGCUAAAGGAACCUUUUGUCAGUCCUAGAAACACUGAUGAAUAAGGGGUGGGCAAGUUCUGGUGUCAGCCGCCGCGGUAAUACCAGCUCUCCGAGUGGUGUGGAUGUUUAUUGGGCCUAAAGCAUCCGUAGCUGGCUGAACAAGUCCCCUGUUAAAUCCAGCGACGAAUCGUUGGCCUGCGGGGGAUACUGCUCGGCUAGGGGGCGGGAGAGGUUGACGGUAGUCCCGGGGUAGGGGUGAAAUCCUAUAAUCCCGGGAGGACCACCAGUGGCGAAGGCGGUCAACUAGAACGCGCCUGACGGUGAGGGACGAAAGCUGGGGGAGCGAACCGGAUUAGACACCCGGGUAGUCCCAGCUGUAAACGAUGCAGGCUAGGUGUUUGGACGGCUACGUGCCGUUCUAGUGCCGCAAGGAAGCUGUUAAGCCUGCCGCCUGGGGAGUACGAUCGCAAGAUUGAAACUUAAAGGAAUUAGCGGGGGAGCACCACAAGGGGUGAAGCUUGCGGUUUAAUUGGAUUCAACGCCGGA
rnacentral:rRNA from 1 species